AUGAGAUUGUGGGGUCUUCUCCUUUGCCUGGUGACAGCUCCCCAAGGUGUCCUGUCUGAGGUGCAGCUGCAGGAGUCGGGCCCAGAACUGGUGAAGCCCUCGCAGACCCUCUCCCUCACCUGCACCAUCUCUGGUGACUCCAUCACCAAUGAUUAUGGUUGGAGCUGGAUCCGCCAGCCCCCAGGGAAAAGCCUUGAGUGGAUGGGAUACCUCUAUUCUAGUGGAAGCACAGCUUAUAAACCAUCCCUCAAGAGCCACAUAUCCAUCACCAUAGACACAACCAAGAACCAGUUCUCCCUGCAGCUGAACUCUGUGACCUCCGAGGACACAGGCGUGUAUUACUGUGCGAGACUCACAAAUGAUGACGUCCAUGCUUCUUACGUGCAAGACGUGAAACCAGAACUCCUCGUGUCACAGCUGAAGGUCAAGGACUGUGUGUGUGUGUCCUGCUUGCUGCUUGUAUACUUCCACUUGUCACAUCGAAGGUGUCGAGUAGAAGCCGUGCUGGCUGCCGUGCUCACCUCGUCAUGA